rnacentral:rRNA from 1 species
UACGAAGGGUGCUAGCGUUAUUCGGAAUGAUUGGGCGUAAAGGGUGCGCAGACGGUUUGUUAAGUCAACUGUUAAAAACCUCAGCUUAACUGAGGACAUGCGGUAGAUACUGGCAAACUAGAGGGUGGAAGAGAGAAGCGGAAUUCUCGGAGUAGCGGUAAAAUGCGUAGAUCUCGAGAGGAACACCGAUGGCGAAGGCAGCUUCUUGGUCCACUUCUGACGUUCAUGCACGAAAGCGUGGGGAGCAAACAGG